UUCACAGGCUCGUAUUGACCAAUGAAAAGACUUUGCUCUAUACAGCGAAACUGCAUUUGUAUCCUUUCACUGAGUCUGUCGCUGCAUGUCCUCUCUCAGGCUAAACUAAACCAUACCAAGGCCGUGUCUGCUUGUGGACUAAAGGAGGACCACAAGUAGAGGCCCGCCGUACAUCAUCGCUGCCAUGACGGAGGAAUUUUCUGGACACGUUGGGAGUUUGGGCCGUUGAGGAGGAGGAGGAGGAGGAGGAGAGAGGAGUGAAAUCAGAAUGGAGGAAGCAUCAUGACCGGCCUUGCACACAACCAAGGACACUGCCUCGACCCUGCCUUUUCACUGUCUCAAUACCACCGCAUCACUGCACUGGUGCACACGCGAUUUUAAAACAUCCCACGGAAACUCCCAUUCCACUUUGCCAAAUGGGUUUUUCACACCCCGAACUUCCCAUACGAGGUCCAUGAACUCCAGAGGGCACAGACAAACAAACAAGCAAACAAACCCCUGAAGCGCACGUUGCCAACUGCCGCAUCUUUUCACCCAGUCGACUGCAGAGAGGCUAUGGCUAUUUCAGUGCCGCCCUGUGGUGCUGCCAGCCACGGUCGGCACUGGCACGCGUAGCGACUGCAGCACGUAAACGUUUGUCGCGAUCCGUUUGAGUUCCUCUUGACAAGGACAGCGAGUGGCUCGCCGUGUUAUUGGCCAUAAAUAACAGUGAGAGGAGUCUUUUAUUGGCCCCGAGGGGUGGAUUUCAUCAGCAGAGAGACAGUGGCAAACAGAAGGACACAGAGACAGGUGUAACAGAGGCAGAGACACAGGUAAGGGCAUACGCAUUGGUAAAGAUACAGGUACUUAGAUACAGCCAGCCCCACCCCCCCCCCCCCCCCCCCCGGUCUCCCAUUAAAAGCACCUCAGUUUCCUUCUUUAGCCCCUUGUCACAGCCAGUAUGAAUGAGUCCGCCCCAUGUAAUACAACUCCCCCCUUCGCUCACCCUGUAAGCAGAAACAUACCGAGACGUUCAUUGCCCAUGGCAUUACCCUCCCUUGAACCUUGAAUAGAAAACGAAAAACUGUUUUAUGCGUACUAAAAGUAGCAGCCGCUCUUGGCCCUGACAUUUACCCUUUCCAAUCAACUCUACUUUUAUUUCACAAAAGUCCCAAACCUCUCCUGGUAAGCCUGGCUACCGGGCUGCAUGUGUCUCAUUGUACUGCAGGCAGACAGGUGGCUAACGUGGAGUAGCGUCCCCAGAGAGGCGUCCCCACCCCCAAAUGAGCCCGCUCCUGGCCUGGGCGCUGAGGGGGGGAGGGGGGGGCGGACACCCACGUGGGCGCAAGUUGGCCUGUCACCUGGACCGGUUUUUGGGGACGGUGCCAGACCAAGGUUGGAGGGUAUUGCCAAGCUGUGAUGUCCCCUGGCUGACUGCCUUCUCUCCACUGCUCAUGCACCCCCUGGAUCAAGUGACCCAGUGUCUCCGAGAUAUGCUCUUUGGCAGCCAGACAGAAUAUUUAAAUUGUUUUUUUGAACAUCUGAAUAUUUAUAAUUUUUUUGUACACCAGGACAUUGUCCCCUACAUGGCAUUGUAUUUCUGUCCUUUAAGAACCUUUUUAGAAACACGAAAUAGCAACGAGGGAUAAACUUUAAAAAUAUGCCUGGGUCCAGCAUGUACUCCUGUCCUUGUAGUGUAUACACCCCCUGUGCGGUUGAGAGUAAGCAGGUUUUUUUUAAAUUAACUACAUUGCCAUUGUCCUUAACCUUCAAUGACAGUUUUAAGCAGGUGUUUUGUGUAUUCUUAACUCAACAACACUAUGAGUUAAUCAGGUUCUGAAAUUACUCGAAAAUGCUGUGCAAGCAAUAAAAGAAAUUACUCCUGACAAAUGAUAUUAUUCAAACUGAAGGACAAUUCACAGAGCAUGCAUAUUGUACCCGGGACCUAAAUUGGUAAAGACCACUGCUGGCAAUUGCUUGUAUUGUGUGAGGAUGAAGCUGAUUA